UUCAGAGGUGGCGAGCGUUGUUCGGAUUGACUGGGUGUAAAGGGUGCGUAGGCGGUCUGGAAAGUUGGGUGUGAAAUCCUACAGCUUAACUGUAGAACUGCACUCAAAACUACCUGACUCGAGUGCGAGAGAGGUGAAGGGAAUUCCCGGUGUAAGGGUGAAAUCUGUAGAGAUCGGGAGGAACACCAGUAGCGAAGGCGCUUCACUGGCUCGCAACUGACGCUGAGUGCACGAAAGCGUGGGGAGCAAACGGGAUUAGAAACCCGGGUAGU
rnacentral:rRNA from 1 species